rnacentral:rRNA from 1 species
CCCUUAGAUGUUCUGGGCCGCACGCGCGCUACACUGAUGCAUUCAACGAGUCCAACCUUGACCGAGGGGUCCGGGUAAUCUUUGAAACUGCAUCGUGAUGGGGCUAGAUUAUUGCAAUUAUUAAUCUUCAACGAGGAAUGCCUAGUAAGCGUGAUUCAUCAAAUCGCGUUGAUUACGUCCCUGCCCUUUGUACACACCGCCCGUCGCUCCUACCGAUUGAGUGUGUUGGUGAGGAGUUUGGAUUGGCCUCGGAAGGUGGUUCGCCACCGUCCGUAGCUGAGAAGUUCUCCAAACCGCCCCACUUAGAGGAAGGAGAAGUCGUAACA